rnacentral:rRNA from 4 species
AGGGAUCAUUACCGAGUUUACAACUCCCAAACCCCUGUGAACAUACCACUUGUUGCCUCGGCGGAUCAGCCCGCUCCCGGUAAAACGGGACGGCCCGCCAGAGGACCCCUAAACUCUGUUUCUAUAUGUAACUUCUGAGUAAAACCAUAAAUAAAUCAAAACUUUCAACAACGGAUCUCUUGGUUCUGGCAUCGAUGAAGAACGCAGCAAAAUGCGAUAAGUAAUGUGAAUUGCAGAAUUCAGUGAAUCAUCGAAUCUUUGAACGCACAUUGCGCCCGCCAGUAUUCUGGCGGGCAUGCCUGUUCGAGCGUCAUUUCAACCCUCAAGCACAGCUUGGUGUUGGGACUCGCGUUAAUUCGCGUUCCCCAAAUUGAUUGGCGGUCACGUCGAGCUUCCAUAGCGUAGUAGUAAAACCCUCGUUACUGGUAAUCGUCGCGGCCACGCCGUUAAACCCCAACUUCUGAAUGUUGACCUCGGAUCAGGUAGGAAUACCCGCUGAACUUAA